rnacentral:rRNA from 1 species
GAGUUUGAUCCUGGCUCAAAACUAACGCUGGCGGUAUGCCUAAUACCUGCAACUCGAACGACCUCUUCGGAGAUAAUGGCGCACGGGUGCGUAACGCGUGGGAAUCUGCCCUUGGGUUCGGAAUAACGUCGGGAAACUGACGCUAAUACCGGAUGAUGACGUAAGUCCAAAGAUUUAUCGCCCAUGGAUGACCCCGCGUAGGAUUACCUAGUUGGUUGGGUAAAGGCUGACCCCGCGACCAUCCUUAGCUGGUCUGAUAGGAUGAUCAUCCACCCUGGGACUGACACACGGCCCAUACUCCUUCUGGAGGCAGCAGUAAGGAAUAUUGGACAAUGGGGGCAACCCUGAUCCAUCAAUGCCGCGUGAGUGAUGAAGGCCUUAGGGUUGUAAAGCUCUUUUACCCGGGAUGAUAAUGACAGUACCGGGAGAAUAAUCCCCGGCUAACUCCAUGCCACCAGCCGCGGUAAUACGGAAGGUGCUAACGUUGUUCGGAAUUACUGGGCGUAAAGCGCACGUAGGCGGCGAUUUCUGCAGAGGUGAAAUCCCUGGGCUCAACUGCGGAAUAGCCUUUGAGACUGGAUUGCUUGAACAUAUGCAGAGGUGAGUGUGCUGCCCAGUGUAGAGGUGAAAUUAGUAUAUAUUUGCAAGAACUACUCUGGCGACGGCGGCUCACUGCACGAUUGUUGACGCUGAAGUGCGAAAAUGUGGCCGAGCAAACUAGUGCAGAUACCCUGGGAGUCGACUACCUAAGCGAUGAAAACUAGCUGCUGGCGUGGCUGUCAUUUCAGUGGCGCAGCUAACGCAUUAAGUUAUCCGCUUGGGGAGUACGGUCGCAAGAUUAAAACUCAAAGGAACUGACGGGGGCGUGCACAAGCGGUGGAGCAUGUGGUUUAAUUCGAAGCAACGCGCAGAACCUUACCAACGUUUGACAUCCCUAUCGCGGUUAGUGGAGACACUGUCAUUCAGUUCGGCUGGAUAGGUGACAGGUGUUGCAUGGCUGUCGUCAGCUCGUGUCGUGAGAUGUUGGGUUAAGUCCCGCAAUGAGCGCAACCCUCGCCUUUAGUUGCCAUCAUUUAGUUGGGUACUCUAAAGGAACCGCCGGUGAUAAGCCGGAGGAAGGUGGGGAUGACGUCAAGUCCUCAUGGCCGUUACGCGUUGGGCUACACACGUGCUACAAUGGCGACUACAGUGGGCAGCGACCAUGUGAGUGUAAGCUAAUCUCCAAAAGUUGUCUCAGUUAGGAUUGUUAUAUGCAACUCGAGAGCAUGAAGGCGGAAUCGCUAGUAAUCGCGGAUCAGCAUGCCGCGGUGAAUAUGUUCCCAGGCCUUGUACACACCGCCCGUCUCCCCAUGGGAGUUGGAUUCACUUGAAGGCGUUGAGAUAACCCGCAAGGGAGGCAGGCGAGCACAGUGGGUCAGCGACUGGGGUGAAGUCGUAACAAGGUAGCCGUAGGGGAACCUGCGGCCGGAUCACCUCUUU